CAACUCUGCACCACAGGUAUCCCAACAGUGGCAUAUGUCGGUCAUUUACGCCGUAGCUGGAACAAUUAUAUUUCUACUUGUAGCUACGUUGAUUCCUCUUCUAUUUAGGCGAUGCAAACCUCAUGUUUAUGCAACGCUUCAACGCCAAAGGACAACUGCAGUUAGAGAGCCAGUUACACAUGUGUAUGAUACUGUGCAGUCUAAUCUUGAGCCAACUGUCUAUUACAAUCUGAGAGGAGGGUCAGCAAGUGGUAUCGAGAUUACAAAAGCACCUCAACAUUUGGAGAGUGAAGGAUACAAACGUUCAAAUGAAAAUGAAUGUCAUUAUGACUAUGUGGACCCACCAUCCAACCACAGCGACAGUGAGACAAACGGGCCGGGUGCAAAUUAUAUUCACCCUCUAUAAAACUAUUUGUGAGUAAAACAUUUUGCUAUAUAGUCUGAUUUAUAUCUUUUGAAAAUCCUAUAAUCAUACUUGUUACGCUAACCAUUUCAAGGCGUUUAUGGUUUAUACAAUAUAAUGAGAAUGUACUUAAUGGUGUGUAUUAGUUUGAAACAUGACAGCUUUGCAGAUAUAAACGUGUAUAUGUAAACAAGUUUAUACUUAUGCAAAUUAGUUUGCACAAAUAUAAAUUAAUUCACCAAUCAUUAAUUGGAUAUACGUUACCCAAAAUAAAACUGGUUUAACUAUGAAACUGGUUUAACUAUAUGCUAUUUUUUCAGCUCAAUUGCAAAGACAGCUUUAGCUGUUACCCAUCACACUUGACUCAGUUUCAUGAUUAUAAACCAGUUGUCUUUGUUGAGAGACCGAAUUAUCUUAUCCUACCUCUGGUAGAACACGAAAACACAGCCUCUUGGGUUCGAGUUGGACACCUUUAUCGUUAAACCAUUUUCAUCCUGUUGUAUUUUCAAUUAUUCAUAUUUAAUAUAGUUAAUACGAAGUUGUACUGAGUAUGAAAACCUCGGAAAUGACUCAGAUAAUAUAAAACAUUUGACAUGGUUGAGUAUCUACGGAAGUUGGCUUAACACUAUAUAGCUGCCUUUUUAAAAUGAUUGAAUGAAUGAAUGAAUGAUUAAAAUAUAUUGUAUUUUCCUAUUCGCAAAGAUACGUUUGAGGAGCUUACGAAUUUGUAACGUGUACGUGUACGCAUAGCGUUCCAUAUUUUUACUCACUUCCUCGUGUCAUGUUACAUGAGAUUCCACAUUUGUACAAUGUACACAUAUAAUGAUGACGUAGCACACAGACAAGUAUCCAACAUGAACACGCCCCUGUACCAGAAGGGUUUUGCAACCUCUAAUGAUUUAACGGUGACUUCAAGGCCCACAUGACCAGUUGGUGUUGUCAUCAUAUAGGAUUACAUAAUAUUAAAUGUUAACGUGUAAACCUAAUUAUUUAAAUGUUAACUUUUCGUUUUCGAAAAGCGUGACAACAAUUUGAAGAAUGGUUGGUUAACCAUAUGUAAAACAAUCACGCUUUAAAUGCAUUUGUUUCCUCCUUUUUGUACUAUGAUCAUAUCAUUGUUAAUUUAUUUCCCGUAUGAGUGCAUAGUUUCGAAAACUGUUUUAGACGAGUUAUAUUACUAGUUGAAUGUCAAAUUACUGUUGACUUGUACAUUUGAAGAAUCAGGAUGCCGUUGUAAUAUAUUAUGAUGAUUUUAUAUGUUAAACAUAAUUGUGUGUCAAAUUGGUCAUUUAAGCGGACAUUUGCACGAA